rnacentral:lncRNA from 1 species
ACAAACGCAGUGUUGAUAUUUAGUUUGCUUGUUAGUGGUAAUCAAUAUGGAACUCAAAUUAUGGGUUCUAAUAGCGCUCUUGCCUAUGUUGGUUACAACAAUCAAUGCUCAACUUCUGCCAUGCAUAAGACUUCCCAUAUUUGGCACACCAAUAUUUUGCCCAUCUCCUCCACCACCACCUAGGUCUCCGCCACCACCAUCACCACCUCCACCUCCUCCAUCUCCACCACCACCGCCACCUCCUCCAUCUCCACCACCGCCUUCACCUCCACCUCCAUCCCCUCCUCCACCUCCACCAUCACCUCCACCACCUUCCCCUCCCCCGCCUUCACCUCCCCCACCCCCAACCCUUCCUCCUCCACCAACGUCACCACCUCCCCCUCCGCGUUCACUUGUUUGCACGAUAUUACCUCUCCCAUUACUUUGCCCAACCCCACCUGCACCACCUCCACCUCCGCGUACUCCACUUCUUUGCACAGUAUUACCUCGAGCAAUAUUUUGCCCAUCCCCACCACCACCUGUCUGAUUGAUCUCUAUGAUCAACCUCUAUCACACUAAAAAGUACUAUUGUUGCUUUCCAACCCCUCUUUCAACAAUAAUAAUUUUCUUAUGCACGUUAAAUAAUAAAUUUCCUUGGUAAUUAGUAAUCUUUCUUCGAUGGAAAAAUUACUAGCUAAUAAGUGUCCAACCAUCAAGAUCGACAUUCGUAGCAACAUUCUUCAAGAAAGUCAGUAUUCACACAUGGUAAUCGCAUCCGAACACCAGCAGACAUCCAAAUUAUGUUAUUGUAGAUAAUACUAUUUUUAUGGGAUGAACUAGUUAUUUUAGAGGAUGUUCUGUUUAUACAUGAUGAUGUUGUACUCGUACAUGUAAUAAAUAAAAAUUGUGUAUUGUCAUGGAAAUUUUGAUCAUUUUGUUUAUUUUCUCAAGUUAUAUAUGUCACGUAUGAUUUCAUGCUUACCUCUAUUUAUGUGAAUUAAAAUGUUUUCUACUUCAUGUUUCGUGCCUCAUAUUAUAUUAUAUGUAUCAAUAAUAAGGAAUAACCUUGGACAUAUAUAUGUUCAACAGCCGUGACAUAAAUAUUGGGCAAGAGUGGUUCCCUGAAAGUUUCAAUAGCUCAUAUUAUUGUGCAUAUCAAAUGUUACAAUGUGUUUAACUAUUGAAAAAAUAAAAUAUUCUUCUACCCAUAACCGAACACAAAAUUAAAAUUGUUCCUCAAUCACGUCUUUAAACAAAUCAUAAUCUCAACUUUUGGUCAAUUGAGAUAUGAUUUAUUCAAUUCAACGAAAAAAAGAAAGAGAUAUGAUUUAUUCUUCCAUAUUCAAGGGAUAUGAUUUAUCUAUUUAUCUGUAAUAAAUUAUGCCACUAGCCGAAUAAAAAUAAUAUACUUUUUUCCCCCAAAAUGUGUUGAACAUAUUUGCCACUAAUAAAAAAAAAUAGUCAUUUACUUCAUCCUUUUAAUGAGGUUAUUUUCAUAAAUACUUCAACUACUUUUGUUUUAAGUUUCGUUUUAAUUAUUAGAAGAAUAUUUUAAUUUUUGAAUGUGUAGUUUAUAACAAGUUAAAAAAAAAAAAAAAAAAAAACUUUAGAACAUAAGCAUAUGGAGUUUUUUUUUUUAAAUACUCCAUAUGUAAGUUAAAUAGAGAAAUUAUCUUCAUGAAAUAUGUAAGUAUAAUCAUAUUUGAUUUUGAACAAAGUUCGAAUCAUAUUGCCAAUAGCUGCUAGCAAUGGCGGAUCCACUCAUUCCCAAGGCUACUGUGCAAUUGCACAUCCUUGAUUACCCAAAAAAAAAGCAAAUUCUCUAUAUAUUUAUGAAGUAUAAAAUUAAAUGUAAAAAAACUUAAUACUGAAUUGUAGUUUGGGUGGUUAGAACUUUACAUCCAUUGUAUAGGUACAUGGCAAAACCCCAUUUUUUUACAAGUUCUUAAUUUUACCACAACUUUUCUAAAAUCUUCUUAUUUUCCUUUUCCAAAACUCUUCCGAAAUUUACAAAGUAUUUUGUUAACUUCGAAAUUUUUAGAUAUUUGUAAUAUUCUUAUGUGUAUAGUAUUAUAAAAAAAAAAUCCCUCAUUUCCAAGUAUCUAAUUUUUAUACAUUAUACAAAAUUAUUUUUUCUUGUCUAAACUUUUCCAGUAUUUUUUUUUCUCAAAAUCUUUCUUUUUUUUUUUCUCAAAAUCUUUUUUUUUUUUUCUUAAAUAUACCCCUCAUUUUCUAUAAUUCCUGCCAUUUGCAUAUGCACUUAGUUCAUUUUGUUUUUCUUGUACCCAAUUUGUUUAAUAUCUCAUAUUUCAUCUAACAUGUAAUUUUCUUCUUGUACUCAAUUUGUUUAAAUCUCAUUUUUCAUUCAAGUUUUUUUUUCAUUCCCCCUAAAUGAAUUGAUUUGAUAAUUUAUUUGGUUUAAAAAAACGGGUAUCUAGACUCAAAAGAAUUUUGUACUAAUAAUAUCUUCUUAUAUUUCAAAAUACCUACAAUGACAUUUAUUAUUAAAUAGUUCACUUCUUUAAUAAUAUUUUUUUUUAUUGAUGAUAAAAUCAGCAUGAUUAAUUCUUCUUUUGUUUUAAAUAAAUUCAAUAAUUCGUAAAAAAAUGCUUUAUAAAAAUAUUGAAGAAAUAAAUUAUGUUUUUUUGUGUUGAGAGAAAUGUAUUUUGAAAGAUAUAGUAUUGUUUGUGUUGAGAGAAAUGUAUUAUGUUUAUCACUGCAUUGGUCAAAUCAUGUCGAAAACAGAGAUAAAACAUUUUUUGAAAUUAUAUUUUCAAACUAUUUAGAAAGGAUGGGUUAAUAUAAUUCCUCUUAGUGAAAUUCGUAAUUAAUUUAAAAAUGUAAAACUAAAAUGAGCAAAUCAACUAUCUCGUUCCACUCUUGAAUUUACAUCAGUUUCAAAAACAUGAAUAUUUUCAUUCUAUAUUUUAGAUUUUCAUUUAAAUAAAAGGGUAAAUUACAAACACCCCUGAGGUAUGGUCAAAUUACAAAAACACCCCUCUUGUUUGGAUAAUUACAACCACCCCCUCAACUCCUCAAAUUUAGUGGAAUCUUCGAGAUUAUAUGGAAUAUUAUCACUUUUGUACCCGUUUUAUCCCAUUCAAACUCUACAUUAUGAAGCAAGAUGAUCAUAAUAUGUGAUUUUUAACUUGUAUAUAUCAGUUUGUGGUGCAUCGGAAACUGUAUUUUUACACAAAAUGAAUACAAACUAGAGCACAUUUCACGGAAUCUAGAUAAUUAUGUUGAAUUUGGCACCAUAAGGGUGGAUGUGUAAGAAAAAAUCAUAGUUGAGAGGGGUAGAUGUAAUUAUUCAAACAAAAGGGGGUUUUUUGUAAUUUGACCAUAUCUCAGGGGGUGUUUGUAAUUUACCCUAAAUAAAAUGAAUUUACGAUAUAUAAUGCAACAUUUUUUACAAAUUGGAAAAGUUCCGUUCUAUACUUUUUAUUUUCAUUUAGAUAUAAUAAAUUUACGAUUACGCAACAACUUGUAAUCUAUGACGGUGUAUCUAAUUCCACUUCACAACCCAUGCUACUAAUAAUCAAAUUUGUCAAUGAAAGAAUAAUUGAGAUUUUAAUAAAUUGGCCUAACUUUGAUUUAAAUGAACUAUAGCCAACCUAGUUCAGACAACAUGUACACAUUCGCACUUCGUAUUUCAAGGAUUGGCUCACAAAUUGAUGCCUAUAUAUAAGAACAUAACUCAGUCUCAAUUUUACGACAAACACAGCUUGGAUCUUUAGUUUACUUGUUAGUUGUAAUCAAUAUGGAACUCAAAUUAUGGGUUCUAAUAGUGUUCUUGUCUAUGUCGGUUACAACUAUCAAUGCUCAACUUCUGCCAUGCAUAAGACUUCCCAUACUUGGCAUACCAAUAUUUUGUCGUUCUCCUCCACCACCACCUAGGUCUCCGCCACCACCAUCACCAUCUCCACCUCCUCCAUCUCCGCCACCACCCCCAACCCUUCCUCCUCCGCCAACUUCACCACCUCCCCCUCCGCGUUCACUUAUUUGCUCGAUAUUACCUCUCCCAUUACUUUGCCCAACCCCACGGGCACCACCCUCCACCUCCGCGUAGUCCACUUCUUUGCACAGUAUUACCUCGCGCAAUAUUUUGCCCAUCCCCAACAUCACCUGUCUGAUUGAUCUAUAUGCUCAGUUUCUAUCACACUAAAAAGUGCCAUUGUUGCUUUCCAACCCU